rnacentral:piRNA from 1 species
AUGUGGAGGCUCAAACUUGUGAAGGUUAAA